rnacentral:lncRNA from 1 species
UGCAUUCUUACAGUUUGUAGAUAUAUAUUUGGUCAUUUGAGACUUGCAUCCACUGUUAGUUUGAUCUGUUUUGCCAUAUGUGCAACAUCACCAUUAAACACCGUUGAAUUCACUUGAAAUUGACAUGUGAACUUGGACUUUUCUGUUUUGGCCACUUUCAUGUCAGUUUCAUUAGUUGCACAUGUCCUAAUUGGUCAUAUAAACUAGUUUGGAAUGUUAGCUGAACACUAGAAUCAAUGCAUCUCAAUUUCACUAGUUUUGAAAGUCAUCAAUUAGAAAAAAAUACAAAAUCUGCUAUUCAUUGUGGCAUUUCAUCAAACAGUUUGAAAUUUGCAUCAAACACUUUAAUGGCACACGGUUUUCUCACUGUAUUGAGUCUUUUCUUGCUUGUUUAAUCUAUUCUAGACCCUCUCCUAGGAUCCUUUUGCGUACCACCUCUGUGUCCAGCUCCAUAAUUCAUUAGAAAUCACUUUAUUUGCUAUUCUACCCUGCUGUC